rnacentral:rRNA from 1 species
GGAGACAGACAUCGGGUGCUAACGUCCGGUGUCAAGAGGGAAACAACCCAGACCGCCAGCUAAGGUCCCCAAAUAUAGCUAAGUGGGAAACGAAGUGGGAAGGCUAAAACAGUCAGGAGGUUGGCUUAGAAGCAGCCACCCUUUAAAGAAAGCGUAAUAGCUCACUGAUCGAGUCGUCCUGCGCGGAAGAUGUAACGGGGCUAAGCUAUAUACCGAAGCUGCGGACGCGUGCGUUCCUUUAAGUGCACCAAGCUUGUCGAUGCGCAGCAUCGACAAAGCCACCCACAAUGAUCGUGGUGGCCAAUGCUAGUGGAUUUAAAGGAGCGCACGCGUGGUAGGAGAGCGUUCUGUAAGCCUGUGAAGGUGUCUUGUAAAGGAUGCUGGAGGUAUCAGAAGUGCGAAUGCUGACAUGAGUAGCGAUAAAGGGGGUGAAAGGCCCCCUCGCCGUAAGCCCAAGGUUUCCUACGCAACGUUCAUCGGCGUAGGGUGAGUCGGCCCCUAAGGCGAGGCAGAGAUGCGUAGCUGAUGGGAAGCAGGUUAAUAUUCCUGCACCGUCG